UCCGCAGGCGGUUUGAUAAGUCAGGUGUGAAAUCCAACAGCUUAACUGUUGACACGCAUUUGAUACUGUCAGACUAGAGUAUGAGAGGGGUAAGAGGAAUUUCCAGUGUAGGGGUGAAAUCCGUAGAUAUUGGAAAGAACACCGGCCGCGAAGGCGUUUUACUGGCUCAUUACUGACGCUCAGGGACGAAAGCUAGGGAGCAAACG
rnacentral:rRNA from 1 species